rnacentral:lncRNA from 1 species
UGCAGAGUGGCCAUAUGGAUUUGAUCCCUAUCCUUCAGAGGUGCUCAGCCUAAGGGAACACGGAUAGUAGAUUAAGCACUGACCAGAUAUAUAGAAGCACUUAGGAACUUUGUUCUACUAUUCUGCACUGAAGGAACUUUCAGAACUUUCCAGUGCUUCAGGUUGGGGUCCGGCUCAAGUUUGUACAUUCCAACUUGUUGUUUGGGCCUUGUUGGACAUAACUGAAGUCUGGAUGGCAGGGUGAAAAUUGGAUAAACAGCCACACUGACUCAGGGGAGAUUUUUUUUUAAUGCAAACAUCUGUUUCUUGAAUUUGGCCAUGGGGUAUAAAUCCUGCCUUCUCUCAGCCUUACAGAGGAAGAAAACCCUUUCCAAGUUUCCUCUGAUACUGGGUUUAUGCCCAAUUAUAGUUUAGGCAUGAAGAAACUGAAGCAUGGAGGAAAAACUUAGCAACUAGCCCAACGUCACACAGGCAAGCCAGCCUUGACAAUGUGCUGAUGGCAACCUAGAACAUAAGCAGAGGAGUAUACAGGACAAGAACUUGAUGGUCUCGGGAA